CCGUCAUGGAGUCUACAAGGAAGAGCAAUGAUGGCGGACUCCUAUGAGGCUAGGAUAAAAAAGCAGUCAUGGAUGCUCUGAAGUACAGAUAUUGGCGAGAGAGUUUGUAUAUAAACCUGCAUGGUGGUGGAGUCCACGUGGAAAGCUGGUAUCUCACCCACCACAACUUAGAAGCCGAAGCCAACACACCGUCACGUACCAACCCUUUCAUCAUCAUCAUCAACGAAGCAAUUGCAACUUUGGGAGGACUUUGAAAAAAAUGUUAGCUGAAUAAAGAAAACACAUAUGUCCA
rnacentral:lncRNA from 1 species